UGAGGAAUAUUGGUCAAUGGACGCAAGUCUGAACCAGCCAAGUAGCGUGCAGGAUGACGGCCCUAUGGGUUGUAAACUGCUUUUAUAUGGGGAUAAAGUGGGGAACGUGUUCCCUUUUGCAGGUACCAUAUGAAUAAGGACCGGCUAAUUCCGUGCCAGCAGCCGCGGUAAUACGGAAGGUUCGGGCGUUAUCCGGAUUUAUUGGGUUUAAAGGGAGCGUAGGCCGUUUGGUAAGCGUGUUGUGAAAUGUAGGAGCUCAACUUCUAGAUUGCAGCGCGAAAUGUCAGACUUGAGUGCGCACAACGUAGGCGGAAUUCAUGGUGUAGCGGUGAAAUGCUUAGAUAUCAUGAAGAACUCCGAUUGCGAAGGCAGCUUACGGGAGCGCAACUGACGCUGAAGCUCGAAGGUGCGGGUAUCGAACAGG
rnacentral:rRNA from 1 species